CAGCCGUAAACUAUGCGCGUUAGGUGUAUCGGUGACCACGAGUUACCGAGGUGCCGAAGGGAAACCGUGAAACGUGCCGCCUGGGAAGUACGGUCGCAAGGCUGAAACUUAAAGGAAUUGGCGGGGGAGGCACCACAACAGGUGGAGCCUGCGGUUUAAUUGGACUCAACGCCGGGCAACUCACCGGGGACGACAGCAAUAUGUAGGCCAGGCUGAAGACCUUGCCUGAAUCGCUGAGAGGAGGUGCAUGGCGUAGACGUCU
rnacentral:rRNA from 1 species